rnacentral:lncRNA from 1 species
GCACCAUUCAAGUGGGGUUGCUUAUCGGCCAUGCUUUAGGAUUGGUGAUAUAAUAGGAGACUUGGUAUAAAGAAGGUGGUGAAUAUAAUUGUGAGAAUAUGGGAGAAGGGUGUGGUUCCCAUAUAUAGAAAGGAAGCUUUGAAGAUUCUAUGGGAACAACGCGUUUGUGAGUACGUGUCCCUCUUCUGCAUUUGCCUAUUCAGUUUCGUUUAAGGAAUGGAAUCGAACCACAGCGGAUUGUAUUGACCGGUAGUUUGAUGUAGAUUGACAACAACUCACGAAGAAACAUUCGUACGGAAGAAAGUUCCCAGAAUCUCUUUUUUAAUUGUAGCCCCAUAUAAUUAGUUAAUGAUUUAUCCAAACCUACGACACUUGAUCUUAUCACUGUGUGGGCCUAACCAAUUUAUAUAGACUUGAAAUCAAAUACACUAACCCUUAGAACUUAAUAACAAUAAUAACAACAGGCCUUGGUCAUCUUCAAAUUCCACUGCAUCUUCAGUGGACAACAUUGUCAGGUCCACAAGGUAAGAUUUGUUAGUGCACACCUAUGUAGAAUUAUCAUUAUAUAUUUUAUCAAUCAGUUUUUUUUAUAUAAAAAAUAUCUUAUUUUCCUUUUUCAUUAAUGCAAACACAUUGUGAAUAUAAGUGAACUUCUAGUAUUGUGGCCUUUUCGAUCCACCAUAGCUCACUGUUUUCUUUCAACUUCUAUUUUGGAAAUUAUCCCAUCUAUCCCUUGUAGUUGCGUCCUUUUCUUUUUGAUUGUUUUUUUUAUCCGUGAAAGAAAUGAUUCCCCUUGGCAGGCUUGUUUGGCAAUUACAAGAUCAAAUGAUGUUACUAUUUAUAUAACAGUAUAUUUGGAUGGAGUAUUUAAAAUAGGAAAAAUAAUUUUUUAGAAGACUUAAAAUUUCUAAGUUUAAAAUUGUCUAUUUGGAUAUUUACGGAUUGAAAUUUCAAAUUUUAAUAUUUUAAUAAAUAAUUUUUAAUUAACUAAAAUUUUGGAAUUUUAAAUUUUGUUUAUAGAGAGGGAAUUCUGAAAUUUGAAAUGUCGUCGACAAGACCAGAUUAGAGUCCACGUAUAUAACCCUCUCGAUGCAAGGUUCGAGAAGGUCAGCGAGGUACUUUCUAGCGUAGUUGAGGGAUUGUUCGAGGGCUUGUCUGACGGAGGUGGAGAUCAGGUUGCGAACGAUCUCUGGAUCGAAGUAAUAGACCUUGAUGUUCAAUUGUGGGAAGGUGGAUUUGACGAGGGAUUUGAGGUUGGUUUCGAAGACUAGGAAGUGGAAGAAGAUGUUCUCCGGGCACUGGGAGUGUUGGAGGAUUGAGUGGACGGCGACGAUGGAGCCACGAAGGUACUCCACGUCGAGGGUGAUGGCCAUGUGGACAAGGGAGGGGUCACAGACGGAGGUGAAAACGAAGGAGGCGCAUUUACCGUUGGCGGCAUUGCGGAAUGGAGCAGUGGGGCAGAGGGAGGCAGAGGAGGCUGUCGAGAUGGUGGGAGGAGCGGAUGUUGGUGCCAUGGGGACGAAGCCAGAGAGGAGAGAGAAGACGACAGAGAGGAAUCCAUGCUAAGGUGUGCACCGUCUCCUCUUCUCUUCUUCCUUUGCUACCUCCCUCUCCUCUUCCACCAAAUGUUUUCUUUCUCUCUGUGCUAAUUUUAAUAAUAUUGAAAUUCGUAACAAAGGAGUAAACACAUUGCAACAGUAGCAGGACACAGAGAGAGACACUCUCACGCACUCAGAGUAGAUUUGUACCGAACACAUAAUUUUAAAAAUGAAAAAAAUUAAUUUAUUUAUCCAAACAUAAAAUUUAAAAAAUAAAGGAAUUUUAAUUGAAUUAUUUAAAACUCUUAAAAUUAAUUUUGUUUUAAAUUUUAAAUUACCUCAUUCAAACACAAUCUAAGAAAAAAGAGUAAAUUAUUAUUGUUAUAGACCAAAGUGCUUGUUUGAUUUGACUCUGCUGACUGCAGGAAUAGUAUUGCCAUCAUCGAUAUAUAUGUGGAAUUUUGACACGAAUUCCAUUUACAUCUUUGGAGCAAAUAAAAAAGAACAUGUAUGACAAGGAGCCUGUUUAUAUAAGUCAGAAAUGAGUGCAUCUUUGGCGCAAACCAAAAAGAACAUCUAUGGCAAGGAGCUUGUGACAAAAAUUGUUGAUCCAUCGAUUUCAUCUCAUUUUUUGAUAUCACAGAAAAUUACAAAUAAAUGUGAUUGAUAGUAAUUAUAAUUGUUGUCAUAAAUACAAAUACUUGAAAAAUCUUGACAUUGUUGCCCAGAACACGGUCGAUCGGUCGCAGAAGAGGGCAUGAUUCUACACGUAAUUGCAAAUAUUUUGUUAUUUUCCUUCUUUCUUUUAUUUUAUUUGUAAACAAAAUUUAUUUAAGAAACUCUCAAUCUUUAUUCAAAACCUUUAACAGUAACAAUUUCAAAGCAUAAGCUUUGCGACAACAAUUCCCAAGGAAAAAAUAUAAUUGAUUGCAUUAAAUCGAGAAUAAUUCUAGAUGAGUGCAAGCGCAAUCUUGGGUAAGAUUCCGAAGAUGUAGCGAAAAUAGCUUCUGCUGUAGUAGCGGUAUAGGUAGCGUGGUUUCUCUGGAGGAUGGUAAUAGGCACCGUUCAAAAGGAGUUUCUGAUCGACCAUGCUUGCAGAUAAGUGAAUAAUGAAAUGGAGAUAUGUAAUUUGAUGUGAGCAAGAAAUUUAUGAAGGGGAUGAUGAAGAUAAUUAAUUAGUUGUGAAUGGUAAUAGAGGAUAUGAGAGCGUGUCUUGUGUCUAUCUACAAAUAUAGACUUUAGAUCAGAAAGGAAAGGCAUUGAAGAUUCUAUGGGGGCCACAACCCGGUCGUGACUCGUCAGUACGUUUCCGCGUUGGCCAUUUUGCCUAAUUCAAUUUCUUCUUAUCAAAGGAAUCAACUAAUAAACAUCGGAUUGUGUGUUUUACAUAUAUGGGUACAUUUGUUAUAUAUAUAUAUAUAUUUUACAGGAACAUGUGUUAUGUAUUUAUUAAGCAUGUAUAAGAAUUAUUUUAUAAAAUAUAUUUCCAUAUAGAAAAAAAUAAGUGUAUAUUAACACACUAUAUAUAAUUAAUUAACUGAAUAAAUAUAAAUAAUUUAUUUCUUAAUUUUAUCCUUAGUUAUUAUUUUAAAUAAAUCAUUAUGAAUCAUUUUAAAUUUUAAAAUAUUUUUAGUUAUUAUUGUUCAUAAAAAAAUUUAAAUUAACCACAUUAAAAUGAAUGUUGAUGUAAAUUUUUAGUUAUUAAAAACUUGUUCAUAUGUUAUAAUUGUUAUCCAUUAAUUAGUCCAAUCAUUUUUCACUUAUUUUAUUUUUACGUUAUGCACAUAUGGCAACUUGAAUUUUUUUACUAUGAAUAAUAUAAUAAAUACUUAAAACUAUGGAUGUUACGUAAUUUAAUAAGAUAUCUUAUAUAUUAAUAAACUAAUUAAGUUACUAUUUUAUAUAUAAGGAAUAAAAUAGAUUGAAAAUUUUUAUCUACAAAUCCUGCACGUACGAUUUAAAAAUACAAUGAAUAGAUGAAAUGUUAUUUAUAAUUUUAAACUAAAUUGAAAAAAAAAUUGUGACAUACUUUUUUAUUGUUUAAUUGUGUUAAUAUGCGUGUUUUAAUUCUAUCUCUUUUAUUUCUUACUUAUCUUUAUUUACAACAUGUAUUGUAUCAUUACUUCUUUUAAUAACUAGAAUGAUUCAUAUAUAUCUAAAUAUUAUUAGAUUUUUUGAAGAAAGCAUGUCUUAAAUAAACAUAUGCGCACUUAGCUUAAUUUAUUAAUAAAAAUAUUAUUUUUCAAAAAUUUAAGUUGAAAUAUACAUGAGUUCUCCUCUAGACCCUGUAUUUUAAAAGCAUAUUUUCUAAGAAUGUUUCAUCACAGUAGAAGAUUUGGAUAGUAAGUCCAAAGUUACAUAUUUUAACAUGUGUUUAAUAUUUAUAAUGAUGAAAAAUAAUUUUACGAUAUUAUUAUGAAUUAUUUUGAAAAUCAAUAAAUUUAUGAUGAAUUGUAAUUGGAUAAUAAAGUAAUUUUUUUUUACCAUAUCAAUGCAUAACAUUUUUUCUCUUUUAAAAUUCUUUUAUUUUUCACACAUACAAAAUUAUUCUGCCUAGAUCCUGUAUUGUUACAUCAUCGAAAAGCUGGAGUGGAUCUAAAAAUUUAUUGCAUGGUACUCCUUCAGAAAAUUAUUGCGGCAUAUAUAGUCAAAGAAUGAAUUAAAUAAAGACAAAAGUAACAUAAUUAUUAGAAUUUCAAAUAAUGGGUAAAGAGAGAAAGUUCAAAAAUCAAUCAAAGAAAUCAAAUGCAUCCUUAGUCCCUAGACAUUGACAUGGCACUUGGUGGUCUGAAACAGAGUAAAGGUGCCACUUUUGUUCAAGGGAACCUUGAGAUCACAUUUGACCUUGGGCUUCAAGUGACGGGAAAUCGAGUCCCCGAGCCUGAACCGAAUCCUGAAGUUGAGCUUCACAUAGAUAUCAUAAGCUCCAACACUCUUGUCUUGGUUGAACUGAGAGACUUGUUCGUUGUUGAGCAUCAACACCUUCUGCCCCGAGAAAACGGCGCUCAUGGGACUGGUGCUCUUCUUGUACUGGCGGAAGGAGUUCAUGUGAGUUAUGACAUCGUAAUUGGCGAACCUGGCAUCCUCGUAGAAUGCUAAUGCCUCAACUUUGUCGUAGUAUAUGCUGAGCUUCUUGUUGGGGUUGCGUGCAGUGAAAUUGAGGACCAUGUUGUAGUGAAGGGUGUUGUUGUUUGGAUAGUACUCAAAUUGAGUUAGGUCCGCUUCCGUGACGUGGAACUUGAAGUAGCGGGGUUGAACAACCAGCCAAAAUAUGAGGAAUACAAGACCAACGAGGACAAUGAGUGCAACCACAAUCUUCCACAAGAUUCCAAAGAGGCAGCAGCAGCCGCAGCUUCUUCCGUGGUGUUGCUUAUAAUCUGCCAUUCUUAUAGUCGCAGAUGAGUGAUGAACAAGAGAUAUUACUUUGAUGUGACUAAGAAAUUAUCAAGGGAAAUUAAAGAUGAAGAGAAUAAGUUGUGAAUCGUAAUAGCUAGGGGACUUGAUUGAUAGAGAGAAGGUGGUGAAUUAUAAGAAGGGAACCUGGUGAGUAUAUAUAUAGAAAGGAAAGGUAUGAAAUUCUAUGGUAAUGGGUACAACGCGGUUAUAACUUAUAAGCACGUGUCCGUGUUAUUUCAUUUUUUACACAUGCAAAUGUAAGGAAUCGAUCAACCGUAAAGCCACGAAGAAACAUUCGUAUGGAAGAAGUGCAUUUAAAUUUAAUUGUAUAGCCUCCUCUUAGUUGUUGGUUGCGAUGAUACUUAUCCAAAACUACGACAGCACUUGAUCUUUUCAUUAUGUGGGCAUAACCUUUCUUUUACGUAUUUGUAUUUGUAUUUAUAUUUAUAUACUCGUUGAUAUUAUUAUAUUCAUGUCAACUGUCAAGCGAACACGUAAAUUACAAGUCAACUAUAUAUUUUUACGUAUUUAUAUCCUCAAUUAUAUUUAUAUCUAUACACGCACUUGUUGUAUAUACUAUAAAAAGAAAUCUUAGUUUUGGGGGUGAUCAACAGCGGAUUGUAUUGACCCUUUUACAAUAUUUUCCUAUUAAUAUUUCUACUUUUUUAUACGGUAAAUAUUGAAUGUGUUUUAUAUACAUUCUAAAAACAUUCAAUAUAUAUAUUUACUUUUUCAAUUAACGUUUUCUUUAUAAAGUUGUGAGAAGAUUUAAAGAAAAAUAUAAUAUUAUUCUAUCAAAAAAUUGUGUCCGUGUAUUACAUUUAAGUUUCUCUUCAUUUAUACUUUCACGCAAUGACUAUAAAUUAUUGCAGCCAUGGUUUUUUCCCUAUAUUUUCGGGAUCAUAUUAUUAAUUGCAUUUGUUACCUGUUCGUAUGUGUAUUUUUAAUCUUGUUAAUGGAUGUAGUUUGACACCUCGAAAUUGGUUUACAAUUCGUAAUUAUUUUAAAUUUAAACUUAAAUAGUUUGAUUUAAAAUAAACUAUUAUCUUAUCUAUAUUUAAGUCUAUUCAAAUUUCAAAUUAAAAAAAAAACUUAGCAUAUUUAAUUACAAACUUAGCAUAUGUAAGUCUAUAUAUAUUUAAAAAAUUAUCAUUAAUUAAACAUUGACUAUUAAAAAAUUUAAUAUUAAUCUAUCACCAAAACAAAAAUAGUAUUUCACGUUGGAUAAAUAUGACAUUAAUUUUACAUUGAUUAUUUAGUUGAUGUAAUUACUGAUAAUGUAAAAAGUUUUUAUUUUUACAUUAAUUUGUAUUAGAACCAAUAGAAUAGAUAUAGUAUGCUUCAUUUCCAAUUUCCAAAAACCCAAAUCGUAAAUGUUUCGAACAAUCUUAUUCUCGUCGAGGCCCAUGCUUCUGAUCAAUUUUCUUCGACAAGAGGUCAUCCAAAGGUUGUAGUUUUGUUUUCAGUGAAGUUUAAGACUCGGGUUGAUGGAGCGGGUGGAGGAGAUGAAGGAGAGAGACAGCUCUCGUCGAAAUCUUCUUUAUUGGAUUGAAAAAGAAACAACAAAAUACACAAGAUAAACACAUCAUGAAAUAAUCUAUUGCCCGCAACGCAAACAAGGAAUUCCACUUCAAAACAAGAAACACAAACUUAGGAGGAGUGUUUUAAACACACUCUCUACUUGAUCAAAAUUUCAUGAAAAUUAUAAAAUCAAAAAGAAAAUUAUAAAAUAUGAGACGAGACCCUCAAAACUUUGUCAAUUUUAAAAAAUAUAUAUUAAAAAAAUAUGUUCUUAUCAUUUCUUAAAAAAUAAUUCACUUCAUACCUUUUUGCUUAGAAAUCCUAAUUCUCGAUCAAAUUCCCUCUUCACUUUCAUUGCCAAGCAAAAAAUCGAAAAGAGCAACUAUACCAAAGUGAACAAAAAGACAUUCGCAAGAUCCUCCAACUUUCUACAUUGGUUAAAUUUUUAAUCGAUGUAAUAGUUUACAAACGAUAUAAAAAAACUAUAAUUAUUCACAAAAAUUGUGGCCGCAUUUUUUAUUACCUCGAAUAUUAAAUAAAUAAUCUAAAAAUUCCCACAUAAAAUGUCCUUUUCGUAGCUCUGUGUGUAUUAAGAUUGUUCUUUGAAGUAUUUAUAGGCUAUCUAACCAAUCAGUUCAACCCCACAUGUCGAUCGCGUACGCGACUCAUCUCCAUGUGUUGAUCCUAAAAAUAAAAGUCAUUGGACAACUAACUGCUGAAAAUACAUAACCACCACUAUCAAACACAGUCACUAUGGAUGCUACAAAUGAAAGAUGUCGCCAUUACGCUCAACUGAUGAUUUCUUUGAUAAGAAUCCGAACUAAAGCGAAGGCGAUAAUGAUGUAAAUUUGCCUAGCACGCUAACUUCUCUAUAAAUACCACAUAUUAAGAACCUUCAAUAUGUACACAUUAAUCCACAUGCUAUAGAUUGUUACUCGAACUACCCAACAUUGACGUUAAAAUCUCUAUAGGUACACCCCUUCCAACACGUGUACAAGAGUUUCAUUGUAACAGAUUUUCAAAACAAAAUUAUAAUGUAAAAUUUUGUAAUUUUAUUGUUUUUAAAGAAAUUAGUUUAUUAACAUUUUAUGAAAUAAGAAAAUAUAAAUAUGUAUUGAUAUAUAUAUAUAUAUAUAUAUAUAUAUAUAUAUAUAUAUAUAUAUAUAUAUAUAUAUAUAUAAUAAUUCAUCUCCUAAUUUCUAUCUUUAAUUUAUUGAUUAUUUUAACAAUAUAUUUAAGAAGAUUAAUUUUAAAUUUAACAAUUAAUGUAUACUUAUAUAAAUAUAUAAGUAAACAUAUCUCUCUUUGUUGCACUAUCCAAUUAACAACACUAUAAAACAUCUACAUUCAUAAAUUCGAUCAAAGAAAACGUGAGCCCAAGGUGUUAGAAAAAAAUAUUACAUGAAAAACAUAUCAGAUUUGCAAUGUACAUAUAAUAAAACAAAUGAGAAUUCUAGAGAAGUAUCAAAAACAAAUUAAUUUAUUGUUUAGAACAUACACUGUAGAUACAAAAUGAAUAAAACAAUGACAAAAAAAAACACAAUUAAUUAUUAAAAUAUAAAAUAAUGGGUAAUUAAAGAGAGUGAAUCAAAGAAAUGAAAUGUGUACUGUGUAGUAGUCGAUCCUUAGAAAUGGACAGAACAUUUGGUGGUCUCAAAGAGAGUAAAGGUGCCACUUUUACUGAAGGGAACCUUGAGGUGACAUUUGACCUUGGGCUUCAAGUUACCGGAUAUGGAGUCCCCGAGCCUGAACCGAAUCCUGAAGUUGAGCUUCACGUAGAUGUCAUAAACCCCAUCACUCUUGUCUUGGUUCAACUUAGAGACUUGUUCGCUGUUGAGCAUCAACACCUUCUUCCCCGAGAAAACGGCGCUCAUGGGGCUGGUGCUCUUCUUGUACUGGCGGAAGGAGUUCAUGUGAGUUAUGACAUCGUAAUUGGCGAACCUGGCAUCCUCGUAGAAUGCUAAUGCCUCAACUUUGUCGUAGUAUAUGCUGAGCUUCUUGUUGGGGUUGCGUGCAGUGAAGUUGAGCACCAUGUUGUAGUGGAGAGUGAGAUUGUUGGUGUAGUAAUCAAAUUGGGUUAGGUCCGCUUCCGUGACCUGGAACUUGAAGGAGCGGGGUUGAACCACCAGCCAGAAUAUGAGGAAUACGAGGCCAACGAGGACGAUGAGUGCAACCAGAAUCUUCCACAAGAUUCCAAAGAGGCAGCAACAGCAGCUUCUUCCGUGGUGAUGGCGAUUGCGUGGUUGUUCCGCCGGGGGAAUGGCGGGACCGUAAUAGGUACCGUUCAAGUGUGGCUGCUUAUCGGCCAUGCUUUCAGAUGAUUGAAUUGAAUUGAAUUAACUAACAAGACCAAGAAAUGAUCAAGGGAAUUGGUUGUGAAUGUGAUCAAUUGUACUAAUAAGGGACUUGAUGGUGGAGAGGAAAAUGUGAAUUGUGGGAGAAGGGAGUGAAUGAACUAAAACGAAGUAUGUAAAAAGAGAUUAUGAAGGGAAGAAUGAAGAGAAUUAGUUGUGAAUUGUAAUAAUAGGGGACUUGAUUGAUAUUUGAUAGAGAGAAGGGAGUGGUGCGUUUAUAUAGAAAGGAAAGGCAUGGGAGAUUCAUUGGAUGGGUACAAGUUGUGAACUUGUUAGCACAUGUCUGUAUUAUUUACUUUUUUUAUUCAUGAAGUUCAUGGAAUCCAUCUACAGCGGACGAUUGUAUUGACCAGUGUAAAUUAAGAUUGAUGUAGAUUGACCAAGCAACAACCACGAAGGACCAUUUGUGUGACGAUACUUAUCGACAACUACAAUACUUGAACUUUUCAUUAUGUGAGUGAAACCAAUUUGUGCAACUUGAAAUCAAAAUACAGUAAUUUAGAUCUCAAUAACAGUAUUAAAAAGAGAGCCAAGACCGUUUCUUCAUCUCACUAUUUUCCAAUUCAGGACCUGAGAUUAUAUCUAUCUUUGUUCCUCUUGAGUGUGGUAUAUAUCAUUGUGGUUACCAUUCUCCUUCCCAUAACUAAUCGAUCCUAUGCUACUGUUUUAUAAAUUUCAAUUUCACGGUGCCACACUGUAGUUUCAAACUUUCAAUGAUUUACAUCAAAUAAAUUGUACUAAAUCCAACCCCAUACCAGUUUUAUAGAUUUUGCAGCUUCUGAUAUUGUCGUUUGUGCACCACAAAAUUCCAAUAUCCGUGUCCUAAUAACGUGUACUAAGAAGCACAUACAUCUUCCAGUAAGUUAUUACAUGUAUUUUAAUUAAAACAAUAAAAUAAUAAGAAUGAAAAAUUGUUUUCAUAUAACUAAUUUAUACCCAAAAUUGUUUUUACUUAUUAUAAUAGGGCCUUCUGAGCAUAUUAAUUUGGACCAUGAUACAUUGCUAUGAACUUAGACAUGGUAUUGUUUCAGAUUUUGGCAUUCAGCCUAGGGGCCGUAAAAAUUUUUUAGAUAAUGUUUGGAUGAUUUAAAAAUGAUUUUUCGUUUUAGUUUUAGCAAUUUUUCUAAUUAAUACUUUUACUAAUAUUCUGAUUUUACAAUUAAGUACAGUGCAAGUAUAUAAUUAUUCAACAGGUACAAAAAUAGAGAUAUUAAAGUUGUUAUUUGUGUGAGUAUAAUAACAAAUACAAAACAGGUACAAAAAUAGAGAUAUUAAAGUGGUUAUUUGUGUGAGUAUAAGAACAAAUACAAGUAUUUUUUUCAAACAUAAUUAUUAGGACAUAUAUUAUCAAGGACAGAUACAGAAAUAUAUCAAAGGGAGGACCAAGAUUUUUUACACAAUUAUUUAAAAUUUUAAUUUUUAGCAAAUAAUUAUUUAAUAAAUAAUGAGUUUCACAAAAAUAUUUAUUAUUAAAUUAUGUGUAAAACUAGAGAUAAGAUGCACUAAAAAAUUUAACAGAUAUCAAUUCAACACUCUAUUCUUCUUAUAUAAAUGAUAUAUUAUAAUAUUUUAACCAAACUUUAAACAUUACCUUCCAUUAAAUAGGGCUCAUGUUUUUUCAGUAUCUUGUUUGGAGCAAUUACACCUAGGCUAAACAGCAAACACAGAACUUUGAUGUGGUCUUUGUGGACUGAAAAAUCAUAUAUUAAAUAUGUAAUACAAUAGGGCUAGCUAGUUUUAAGAGAAAAAUACAAGGUAUUUAAUAAUUUAUUUUUCUAGUGCUCCUCAAAUAUAAAUAUGAACUUGUAACGUGAUGGCUUCAGUACACAUUUUACAUGAAUUAAUAUCGACGAGUAGACAAGUGUAUACAUAAAAGGCAACAUUGUAUUGUAGCUGAGCAAGCAAGGUACACUCUCAGAAACCUGGCCUGAACCGGCUUCACGAAUCACGACCCUCCUGCUUCGACUUAUCUACAAUUAAAAAUGCAUAUCUUCCGCAAAAAUGUUCCUUCGUGGUCAAUGUACAUCAAUCUUUGCACGGGCCAAUACAAUCCACUGUUGAGGGAUUCCUUUCGUGAGUAAAAGAAAUACAUAACACGAACACGUGUGCUCGAUCGAUCACAACCGCUUUGUAUUGUACGACCCAUAGAAUCUUCUUCAAUGCCAUUCCUUUCUAUAUAUAUGCACCACCCUCUUCUCCCAUAUCUCACAAUUCACCUACUAAUUCUAUCAACUCCCCCAUUACAAUUCCCAGCUAAAUUAUUUUCAUUUUUCCUUCAUAAGUUCUUGGUCACAUCAAAGUAUUUAUCUCCUGUUCAUCACUCGUCUGCAAGCAUGGCUCAUAAGCAAGACCAUGGAACAAGCUGCUGCUGCUGCCUCUUCGGAAUCUUGUGGAAGAUUCUCGUUGCACUCAUCGUCCCCGUUGGCCUCGCAAUCCUCAUAUUCUGGCUGGUGGUUCAACCCCGUUCCUUCAAGUUCCACGUCACGGAAGCCGACCUAACACAAUUUGAUUUCUAUACCAACAACAACACUCUCCACUACAACAUGGUCCUCAACUUCACUGCACGUACGCAACCUAAACAAAAAACUCAGCAUAUACUACGACAAAGUAGAGGCAUCAGCAUUCUACGAGGAUGCCAGGUUCGCCAAUUACGAUAUGGUCACUCACAUGAACUCCUUCCGCCAGUACAAGAAGAUCACCAGCCCCAUGAGCGCCGUUUUCUCGGGACAGAAAUUGUUGAUGCUCAACAAUGAACAAGCCUCUAAGUUGAACCAAGACAAGAGUGAUGGGGUUUAUGACAUCUAUGUGAAGCUCAACUUCAGGAUUCGGUUCAGGCUCGGGGACUCCAUAUCCCGUCACUUGAAGCCCAAGGUCAAAUGUCACCUCAAGGUUCCUUCAAGUAAAAGUGGCACCUUUACUCUGUUUCAGACCACCAAAUGUUCUGUCCAUUUCUAAGGAUCGACUGCUAGACAUUUCAUUUCUUGGAUACAUUCUCUUUAAUUACUAAUUAUUUUAUAUUUUAAUAAUUAAUUGUGUGUUUUUUUGUCAUUGUUUUAUUCAUUCUUUCUCUAUAAUGUAUAUGUUUUCAAGCAAUAAAUUUGAUUUUGGUACGUACUCCUCUAGAAUUUCCCUUAAUUUGGUUUUAAGUUUAGGUAUACGUCAUUGUUUUAUUCAUUCGUUCUCUAUAAUGUAUAUGUUUUUCUUGUAAUAUUUAUUUUAUAUCACUUUGGGCUCGAAAUUUCUUACAACAUCUGAAUGUAGAUAUUUUCUACUCGUUUAUUGGGUAGUGCAGCGAAGAGAGACAAAGACAUAUGGGGCUUAGGUAUACGUUAGACCCACUUUGAUAAACGAGUAUAAAUUACACAAAAAUAAUCGAUUCGUGAAUCCAUAUUUAGGUUAGUGACAUUUUUUUAAAGAAAAAAAAUUCUACUUUAUUGUUUUAAUAAAUUAUGAUGGUGACUUCUAACAUGGUUUGUUUUCCCUAAAGAGUCAAGAACAUUUAUAUUCAAAAUAAAAAUCUGAGAAGAGCGAAGUAUAUAUAAUUUUGCUACGUUGAUUUUGGAUAGAUGAAAAAAGCAUAAUAAAAAUAUCGUUAAUUUACUAAGAGAAUAUUAAAACGUAAAAAAGUUACAUGUAAAAAUCAUAUUAACACAUAGUUUAAUGGUGAUACAAUGAUAAGAUAAAAUCAUUUGACACCUUCAUCUAAUAAUAAAUUAAUAUUAAUGUGAUUUUAAACAUAAUUAUUAUCAAAACUAAUAAAUUUACCAAACAUAUAUAGAGAUUGUGAUGGGAUGACAUUGUGACAUUAAUUGAUACUAUUGGUCUAUAAUAUUUUUUUUCUCAAUAACAUAUAUGUAUUAGAAAAUAUCAGUUUGGUUUGGAUCAAUUCAAUUUGGUAGACAUCAACCAAAAAUAACCCAAAUUGAUGAAUUAUGCAAAAAUAAUGGUCUAAAAAGCAGUUUUCACUGGUUUCAUGUUUUUUUAAUCAGUUUGUUGUCUUUUAAAAGAUUGGAUUGGAUCUAUACAGCCCUAAAUUCCAGUUAUCCACAAUUAGGUGGAAAUGAUCGAUCAUUCACAAUCCCACAACAAUAGCAGCAAGGCGGGGAACACCAAAUUGAUAUGAAACAAUGGUCAGGGCAGAAUUAAGCCUGACCCGACACAAGCUCCAGAGGCCUAGUUGGUGUUCUUGUAAUUCAUUUGAUUUCAAGUUCAAGGUGACUUUUUUCUUACCAGAACAAAAAUUGGCACGCCUUAAUUGAAUUGUCCUGCGAGGGUUAUUCAAGCGGUUAAGAGUUGGGCCGUGUAGAAAGAAUACAGAGGUCUAAUUUAAGGCACACCAAAUGACCAAAACCUUAAACAAUAACAAUUUACAUACAUACAUAUGUUUCGUGGCAACAAUUUCAAUUAGUAGGGUAAUCAAAUUGUGUAUUUGGCUAUUCGCAAAAGUGCUUAUCCGUGAUAUACACUACUGCAUAAACAGGAGUAACAAAAAUAUUAUUGCAAGAAAUCAUAUACAUUACAAACAUAUAGGUAAAAGAAUGAAUAAAAUAAUCACAAAAGUUACAUAACUAAUUAUAAAAAUUUAAAAUAAAGAUUAAAGAAAGAAAAGUCCAGAUUAAAACCAAUCUAAUAAAAAGUGUAGUCCCUAGAAAUCGACAUCACAUUUGGUGGUCUGAAACAGAGUAAAGGUGCCAUUUUUACUGAAAGGAACCUUGAGGUGACAUUUGACCUUGGGCUUGUAGUCAUUGGAUAUAAAGUCCCCGAGCCUGAACCUCAUCCUGAAGUAGAGCUUCACAUAGAUGUCAUAAACACCAGUAUUCCUGUCUUGGUUGAACUCUGAGACUUGAUCAUUGUUCAGCAUCAGCAAUUGUUGCCCUGUGAAAACGGCGCUCAUGGGGCUGGAGCUCUUCUUGUACUGGCGGAAGGAGUUCAUGUGUGUUAUGACAUCGUAACUUGCGAACCUGACAUCCUCGUAGAAUGCUAAUGCCUCAACUUUGUCGUAGUAUAUGUUGAGCUUCUUGUUGGGGUUGCGUGCAGUGAAGUUGAGGACCAUGUUGUAGUGAAGGGUGUUGUUGUUGGUAUAGUAAUCAAAUUGUGUUAGGUCGGCUUCCGUGACGUGGAACUUGAAGGAACGGGGUUGAACCACCAGCCAGAAGAUGAGGACCGCGAGGCCAACGAGGACAAUGAGUGCAACCAGAAUCUUCC